UCCCCUGUGCGUGUUCUCUGAUGGACAGUAAGCCUUGACUUAUGGCUAAAUGCUUUUUCACAAUGGUCACAUGCAUAGGGCUUU
ensembl:miRNA